rnacentral:rRNA from 1 species
UACGAAGGGGGCUAGCGUUGCUCGGAAUCACUGGGCGUAAAGCGCACGUAGGCGGAUUGCUAAGUCAGGGGUGAAAUCCUGGAGCUCAACUCCAGAACUGCCCUUGAUACUGGCGGUCUCGAGUCCGGGAGAGGUGAGUGGAACUGCGAGUGUAGAGGUGAAAUUCGUAGAUAUUCGCAAGAACACCAGUGGCGAAGGCGGCUCACUGGCCCGGUACUGACGCUGAGGUGCGAAAGUGUGGGGAGCAAACAGG